rnacentral:ncRNA from 1 species
CUCAUGACGAUGACGUUGGUUACACCGUCAUCAUCAUACCUCCCUGUUGGACUUCGGCCGAGCUUAGUGCUCGGCCUUUUUU